AACUGGCUAUUUGGGUAUUAGCGCAGAAGAUAUACACAGAUAAACCGGAAAUGAUGAAAAGGACAAACUCACAUGAGCCGAACCAGAUCAUUCAUGGGCCCCUACGUAGUAUAAUCCUUCCUCUCCUUCUCCUUCUCCUUCUCCUUCCCCCUCUCUCUCAAUUUCAUCAUAGGUAUCUAUCUCUUUAAGUACCAAAAUUAAAAUUACCACCAGAGAAAAUUCUUUAUUUCUUCAAUAUCAAUUGCAGCUUCAACCUUCCAGAAGCUAAUUAGUUAGCCCAAUCUUCCUCUUACUCUCACUCUCUCAGCUGCUAAUUACCUCAACAACUUGUUCAAAUCAUCCAUGUCUUUGUCUUCUUUAGGGUUUUGGGUCAAAGAAGAGGGCACCGACCGGCCGUUAUUCUUCUGAGUUUGCUUUCUUUUGCUUCUCUGGGGCCUCAAAGAUCUGACACUGAGAUCAUACAAUUUCAAUACAACUAAGAAACAAGGUGAAUCAUGAUGAACUUUGUGCAACAAGAAAAAGGGUAUUGUAAUAAUGAAGAAGAAGAUGAAGAGACGCCGGAAGUGAUAAGAGAAACCAGUAAGCAUCAUCCUUUUUCUUCUUCAUCCUCUUCCUCUUUUGCUUCUUCCAAGUACAAAACUUUUGUUCCUUCUCAUCAAAACCUAUGGUUGGGGAACUUUGAUUCUCAAGAACAGUACAAAAGCCAAGAAACAACAAUCAAUUUUGACAAGAAGCUUGAGCUGAUGGACUUAUCACUGGGAAAUAAUCAUAAUAAUAAUGAAGAACCCAGUACUGGAACUGCUGCAGGUACUGCUGAAGGUGAUAGUAGUAGUAGGUCUGUCGAGAAAGAACAUAUGUUUGAUAAAGUUGUAACACCAAGCGAUGUAGGCAAGCUAAACCGUCUUGUAAUUCCAAAACAACAUGCCGAAAAGUACUUUCCACUAGACUCUUCAUCGAACGAAAAAGGGCUUCUCUUGAAUUUCGAGGAUCGGAAUGGAAAAGCGUGGCGUUUCCGAUAUUCUUAUUGGAACAGUAGCCAGAGUUAUGUGAUGACUAAAGGAUGGAGCCGUUUUGUGAAGGAGAAGAAGCUUGAUGCAGGCGAUAUCGUUUCGUUUCAGAGAGGUGUGGGUGAGUCAGGUAAAGACCAUUUAUACAUUGAUUGGAGGCGGAGGCCUGAUGCUCCAGAUCCCACAUCUAUUGCGCAAAUACACCUCCAGAAUCAGCUACACUUUCAACAGUCGUUCCGGUGGGGUAGACUCUACUCACUUCCCCAAUCUCUCUCCGUUCCAAGAAACUAUGAGCAAUUGCAACGUCUAAAUUAUAGUAAUAUUUAUCCUUCUUAUUAUCAUCAUCAACAUCAACAUCAACAACACCAACACCAACACCAACAACAACAGCAGAUGUUUUCUUAUGGAAAUGCCUCACACCUUAAUUACCCAAUAAGGUCAUCAUCCUCAACACAGCAAAUUGGGGCAGUCCAAGAGGGAGGGAAUGCCCCGCUUGUCAUUGAUUCUGUGCCUGUUGUUCAUGGUAACACUGCUGCUAAAAGACUUAGGCUGUUCGGUGUAAACAUGGAGUGCUCUACACAAGAACAAUCGUCACCCGCUAUAGUUCAUGCCCCAAUGAGUUCAGUCUCUUACCUUCCUCCUCUCGAAUCAAGGCUACCCAAUAAUGCCUCAUUCUCCACAACGCAAUCUGAGUAUGCACACAAAGGAAAAUCUUCCUUGUCUUUUGAUUUGGAUCUAUAAGCUUAUAUAUCUAUAUAUAUCCAGUGAUCGAUAAACACACAAGAAGAAUAUCAUUACUGUGAAAAGUUGAAUUUCUUUUUGUUGUUUCCAUCACAUCUUAUUGCUAUAUAUGUGCAUUUGAAGAAAAUUAUAGAAACAUUUUAGCAUUUGAAUUUUAUUUUAUUUUUAUUUUUUUGCUGUUUUGUUUCUUUCUUCCUUCAGUUUUCAGUAAAUUAAUUAGUUAGUUGAGGUUUGGGAUUUGUAAAGAGCUAACUAGAGAUGAAAGAGAGUACAACAAUAUGGAAUUCAAAUCUUCAUAUGUACGUAUAAUAUAUAUUAUUAUAUAUAUAUAUUUAUACACAUAUUUCUCAGCUUAUAAUUAUUCCCAUCUUGGUUUCCAUAUUUUACUUGAGUAGGUCCUGGAUUUAGCAACUGUACACAUGCCCCGAUCGACUCUACCCAGUUUGUUGGGACUAAUUUUGUUGCUCUUUGGUUAUCAACUCUCUCUCUCUCUCUCUUUUUCUCCACUGACAGCAUUUUGUGAUAUAGUUAGCUAUGUAGCUAAACCAUGGGUAGCGUUAAAGCUGUUGCUUUCCCUCUUUUUCUCUUUUCUCGUUUGUUUCUAUAUAUUACCAAAGUUAGGUUAAAUCUUCCUACUGCUGCUGAAUAGUUAAGGAGUUAAGCAGUUGAUAGGCAGAAAGUUGCAGCUUUGUAAAAGCUACCUUCACAACAUACACAAAAAAGUCCUUUAUGUUAAAGGAGGUUUCCUAUCGUGAGACUAAGACUUCAGUGAAAGCUUCUAAUGAAUACAACUAUACACUGAUCGCCCGCAUGCAUCAAAAACUCGUCAUUUUUGCAUUUACCCAAGGAAAAAUAAGUGUAUACUAAGUAUUUAACAGUUAAUUAAAUUAAUUAGGUAUAGCAGUCGUAUAUAUAUAGUUCUCUCCAAAAGAGUUGUAAACAAUUUUUGUUGAGUUUUGUGGUGUAAAAGAAAGAAAGAACGAAAGUUUGUAAUAGUAUAAUGAAACUGCGUGGCCUAUUGCAUAUUUGAGAUGGUUGAAUUUGAAGACUGCGAUUAUAUAUUUA